UACGUAGGGUGCAAGCGUUGUCCGGAAUUAUUGGGCGUAAAGAGCUCGUAGGCGGUCUGUCGCGUCGGACGUGAAAAUCCAGGGCUCAACCCUGGACCUGCGUUCGAUACGGGCAGACUAGAGUUCGGUAGGGGAGACUGGAAUUCCUGGUGUAGCGGUGGAAUGCGCAGAUAUCAGGAAGAACACCAAUGGCGAAGGCAGCUCUCUGGGACGGUACUGACGCUGAGACGCGAAAGCGUGGGGAGCGAACAGG
rnacentral:rRNA from 1 species